rnacentral:lncRNA from 1 species
GGCCUCCGGGAGGGGCGGUACCCCGGCUCUCCCUUGGCCUAGAGCUAUCAGAAAAGACUGGCAGGAGACUAAACCUGUGUUCGAACCUGAGUGGAAAGAAGGCCUUCCUGCAAGUGGGAGGACACUGCGGGCCAGCCCUCUGCCUCCAGUGCUGGAGCUAAACAUGUGCACCACCAUGCCUGGCUUGAACCUGCUUUUGAAUCCUGUUUCUGC